CCUACGGGAGGCAGCAGUGAGGAAUAUUGGUCAAUGGGCGUAAGCCUGAACCAGCCAAGUAGCGUGCAGGAUGACGGCCCUACGGGUUGUAAACUUCUUUUAUACGGGAAUAACGCGCCUUACGUGUAGGGCUUUGCAUGUACCUUAUGAAUAAGGACCGGCUAAUUCCGUGCCAGCAGCCGCGGUAAUACGGAGGGUCCGGGCGUUAUCCGGAUUUAUUGGGUUUAAAGGGGGCGUAGGCGGCAUUUCAAGCCUGCUGUGAAAUGUUCGGGCUCAACCCUGGCCUUGCAGUGGAAACUGGGGUGCUUGAGUCCGCGGAAAGCAGGCGGAAUUCGUCGUGUAGCGGUGAAAUGCUUAGAUAUGACGAAGAACCCCGAUUGCGAAGGCAGCUUGCUGCAGCGGAACUGACGCUGAUGCUCGAAAGCGCGGGUAUCGAACAGGAUUAGAUACCCCAGUAGUC
rnacentral:rRNA from 1 species